rnacentral:tRNA from 1 species
CAUAAUAUAGCUUAACCAAAGCAUCUCGCUUACACCGCAGAAAAUGUCCGUGAAAAACAGACUAUUUCGA